UAGAUCAAAAGUCAACUUCAUAGAACGGCCCAUUAAAGAAAGAGCGGUUGAUUAUGAUCAAACCUACAGUAUUGUUGUCUAUGAAUCGAGCCACAUUG